UACGUAGGUGGCAAGCGUUGUCCGGAUUUACUGGGCGUAAAGAGCUCGUAGGCGGUCUGUCGCGUCGGAUGUGAAAAUCCAGAGCUCAACCCUGGACCUGCAUUCGAUACGGGCAGACUAGAGUUCGGCAGGGGAGACUGGAAUUCCUGGUGUAGCGGUGAAAUGCGCAGAUAUCAGGAGGAACACCGGUGGCGAAGGCGGGUCUCUGGGCCGAUACUGACGCUGAGGAGCGAAAGCGUGGGGAGCAAACAGG
rnacentral:rRNA from 1 species